UGCGAACUCCUACGGGAGGCAGCAGUGGGGAAUCUUCCGCAAUGGACGAAAGUCUGGCGGAGCAACGCCGCGUGAGUGAUGACGGCCUUCGGGUUGUAAAGCUCUGUUAAUCGGGACGAAAGGUCUUCUUGCGAAUAGUUAGAAGAAUUGACGGUACCGGAAUAGAAAGCCACGGCUACCUACGUGCCAGCAGCCGCGGUAAUACGUAGGUGGCAAGCGUUGUCCGGAAGAAUUGGGCGUAAAGCGCGCGCAGGCGGAUCAGUCAGUCUGUCAUAAAAGUUCGGGGCUUAACCCCGUGAUGGGAUGGAAACUGCUGAUCUAGAGUAUAGGAGAGGAAAGUGGAAUUCCUAGUGUAGCGGUGAAAUGCGUAGAUAGUAGGAAGAACACCAGUGGCGAAGGCGACUUUCUGGACGAAAACUGACGCUGAGGCGCGAAAGCCAGGGGAGCGAACGGGAUUAGAUACCCUUGUAGUCCUAUC
rnacentral:rRNA from 1 species